GGGUCAGUAGGUUGGUCGUGCCACCGGUACGUACUGGUCUCACUGAUUCCUCCUUCCUGAAGAACCGUAAUGCCAUUAAUUUGGUGUUGCGGGGACACAGGACUGUUACUUUGAAAAAAUUAGAGUGGUUAAAGCAAGCUAACGCUUGAAUACAUUAGCAUGGAAUAAUGAAAUAGGACGAUCGAUCCUAUUUUGUUGGUUUCUAGGAUUGACGUA
rnacentral:rRNA from 1 species